rnacentral:lncRNA from 10 species
UUUGCGAAUGCACCAAUCGACACUCUGGAUCUAACUACUCUGGUGGGGCCCUGGAGAACCUUUGUGUCUAGCUCAGGGAUUGUAAACACACCAAUCAGCACCCUGUCAAAACAGACCACUCGGCUCUACCAAUCAGCAGGAUGUGGGUGGGGCCAGGCUGCCAGAGCGAGCAGUGACAACGUGCUGGGGUCCUCUUCCACGCUGUAGAAGCUUUGUUCUUUCGCUGUUUGCAAUAAAUAUUGCAACUGCUUACUCUUUGGGUCCACACUGCCUUUAAGAGCUGUAACACUCACUGUGAAGGUCUGCAGCUUCGUUCUUGAAGCCCGCGAGACCAUGAGCCCACUGGGAGGAACAAACAACUCCAGAUGCGCUGCCUUAAGAGCUGUAACGCUCACCGCAAAGGUCUGCAGCUUCACUCCUGAGCCAGCCAGACCACGAACCCCACCAGAAGGAAGAAACUCCGAACACAUCUGAACAUCAGAAGGAACAAACUCUGGACACGCCGCCUUUAAGAACUGUAACACUCACCGCGAGGGUCUGCGGCUUCAUUCUUAAAGUCAGUGAGACCAAGAACCCACCAAUUCCGGACACAAUAGGAGUGAGAUUGGGCUAUGUGUCCUUUAUCUUCUAGUACUCUAGCCCCUCUUUCCGAGACAUUUGGUAACGUUCCAGUAACAAAAUGAAAUCACAUGCCAGAACCCAGAAUUAGAAGAGGACACCACACAAAAUUACAUGGCAAGGGUACAAAGAAAAGUUGGAAUUGUAACAGGACCUUCCGGAUGUGAAGCAUGCUAGGUCACCAUGUUAUGGUGGUAGAUUGUCCUGGGAGGCAGAGUUGGCUUCUUGAUUCCACCUCUGCUGCAUGCCAACAAGGUGACAUUGGAUAGGGGCCUCAGUUCACUGGUCUAUAAAAAAAAAAACAAUAAACAUUGUAUGCUCCAGUAUUCACAUGUUCCUUGUGUGUUGAUAAUUUAAGUCAGUAAAAUAGCAAAAAAGGAAAAGAAACCCCAAACAAAAUAAAAAACAAAACACCCUAAAAACAAACCUAAGGAAUAAUCCUGCUUUAACCAACUCCUUUUGUUCAGACUAAAGUGAUGUAUAAUAGAUCAUGUUAGGUAUAUUAUUUUAAAUUAUAAAGAUAGAAAUCCCAAAUUCUCUUACAAUUAGAGGUAAUACUGCUUUUAGUCCAGUGAUUACAAAAAAGUGCAUUUGUUCGUAGACAAUUUCAAAGGCACAGAUAAAUAUGUAUAAUCAGUGGCAACUAUUAUAGAAACCCUGGUUAUCAGAACAGGAGCUUGGGCCCCAUGAGAGGAAUGAGAACUCAUCCUCUGACCUGUGAUUCUGGGGUCAGCCUUUCUCUUUCUCAGAAGUACGCAAGAUAGAAUGAAGAGGACAUCACUAAGACCUCCCCCAUCUCCUGCCCCAGCCAUUGAUUUCAUGAACUAGACAAGGAUCAAACUCUUCAUAUUACCUGCACUGACCUCUAAACUCUAACUAGCCAGGUACCUUAUGUGUAAGAAGAAUCUUGCUCACUAGAAUUUGACAUGGAGAAAGGAAGUGAAAGAAAGGAAAAUGACUAUGUUAAGUUAUUCAUCAAGAAAAGAGGAGUAGAAUUAUAUUUAGAUGCUGUAAUUUAUAGAGUCUGGAAAGGAGAAAUUGUUGCACACAUCCUCAAGACAACAAAUAAAGCAAUAGCAGGAAAAAUUUCCCUUCUCUGCUUGCUUUCCAAGAAAGUUAAACCGAUGCCCUGUUUAUUAGUCUGCUUACAUUCUAAAAGAAUUUAAUUUUUUUUCUGUUUUCUGUCAUUUUCCCCCUCCCCAAUCUGUUUUUCUCUCCCUCUCCUUCCUCUUUGUAUUUUCUUCCACUCCCAAACCAUAACUCAGUAUUUUUUGAAAAUUACUAAGUUCUUUGAAUUUUGCAGAAGAGAUAUACCAUAUAAAUGGGAACAACAGCAAAAGAAAUGUGUUUCUCCUUAGGUGCCCUGAUUGUAAUGUAACAUUAGGCAGCAGGUUUCUGUAAUGAACUACAAAAGUCUGUCUUAAAUAACAGUAAGUAUUUAAUAGAAAGCCACAAGAGCUUGGGAACAUUCAAGAUUUCAGCUGAUUGUCUGUAUUUAAUGCAUUAUACUCAUAUAGAGAGGAAAAAGAAAUGGAAAGGAAAAAUACGCAGAAAAACAAGCCUUAAUUGUCAUGUGUAGUUCAUAUUUUCUAGUCUCAAAGUGUACAAAACAUUACACAUUAGCAGGAUUUUUGUUUUGUUUUUUAAAAGUGAGCUAAGUCAUCUGAAUAAGAGUGGCAAUUUAAGACACUGCCAAACUGGAAAGGGCCUAGGAUAAAAUUCUGAAUUUCAAUGGAUGUAUUCCCAAGAGUCAUGCAGUCGGUUUGGUAACUGAUGAGGUGAUGACUACAGUCACCUCAAUUUGCUCUCUGCAGGAACUAUCCGUUAGAGAGAAUAACAUGUGUUCUGGAGUAAAGUUUUAAAUUUUAUCCAUAAGAGAUGAAAAUUUUUUAUUUUCUAUUAAAAUAUAGAAGCAAUAAGAAGGCUGGUUUAUAACAAUAUU